rnacentral:rRNA from 1 species
UUCUAACCCCGAAACUGGACGAGCUAAUCUCCCCUUCUUUUCAGAAGAAUAAACUCACUGUUGCAAUAGUGGGGAAAAAGGGGAGAUUAGAUGUGAAAUGCUAACCGCGCCCAGAGAUAGCUGGUUUCCCAAAAGAUUAGUUUGAGCUAAGCCUUUACAAGAAAAAUAAAACUCCUUUAACAAUAUAAAAAGAAUCUUUUAAUUUUUAAAUAGAGGUUAGGGCUUUAAGGAUAAGCUUAAAGCCCACAAUGGAAAAUUCCAACAUUGAUAGUUAAAGACAACAAGCCCCCAAAAUAGUUAUUCUCGAAAGAAUAGGCCUAGAAGCAGCCACUUAACAAGAAAGCGUUAAAGCUCAAUUGUUCUUGCUAACUAAAAAAUUUUUGGUGAACAUCUCUAAAACUACAAAAAUUUAUUGGGACAUUCUAUAAUAAGAAGAGACAAUGUUAAUAUGAGUAAGAAAGCUUCACCUGCGUUUUAUGCGCUUUUAACCUUGAAAGAAAAAACAUUGAAACUAAAAAUUCUG